UACGUAGGGGGCUAGCGUUGUCCGGAAUCAUUGGGCGUAAAGCGCGUGUAGGCGGUCCGGUAAGUCCGCUGUGAAAGUCGGGGGGCUCAACCCUCGGAUGCCGGUGGAUACUGUCGGGCUUGAGUACGGAAGAGGCGAGUGGAAUUCCUGGUGUAGCGGUGAAAAUGCGCAGAUAUCAGGAGGAACACCAAUUGCGAAGGCAGCUCGCUGGGACGUUACUGACGCUGAGACGCGAAAGCGUGGGGAGCAAACAGG
rnacentral:rRNA from 1 species